AGUCAAUCCUUUGCACAAGGAUGGGAGGAAGCUUGCAAACAGGUUCCUUAGGACUGCGAAGAUGUGACAAACAUGAGGGUUCAAGAGGCAAGAGAUCGAAUUGGGGAGUUUUUCAAGAAGCUGAUGUAUGCUUUGAGGCACGCGGUCCAAACCAUCCCUACAAUACACUAUGUGGAGAACAGCUUCUCAGUGACUCACAUUGACAGCUGCUGACCAGGCUUUGGGAAGAACAAGGUCACCCACUGGGGCUGCAGUGGUAAAUACGAAGCACAGCAAUUUCAUGUAUGGCUUUAUUAGCUCUGGUCACAGGUUUCUCUGAAGAGCAGUUGGUAAAUAUCAGUGUGGAAGGCACCGUUUCCAUUCAUCUUUUGGAAAGACAUUUCCCUUGCAGGUUGAAGAAAGAGAAGAACAGAAAAGCCUUUGUUAGCACGUUGGCAGGUGCGAAACUGUAUUGCCAAGUAAAGUGGAAGUGGUGAGGUGAGGUUUUAAUUCCAGGUCACUGGUGAGUAACUAUGCUCAGGGUGUAAAGCAGAUGAGCAAUGACCUUAAUGGCAGAGCUGCUAGAAAACACCCAGCUGUUUUAAAAAGACCUUUUGCCAACAGCACCCACUGCUAGAUCUGGAGGUUGGGGGUUUAGUGAGAGGUAGGCUCAGAGAGCUUGGGAAAGAUGAGGAUCCCUUUGGAGCACUGGGAAGCACGUGGUGGUGUCCGAUGAUCCCAGCCACAGCAGAGGCAGAGGAGAGCUGCCUGACGUGCUGCCUGUGUUCUCCUCACUGUGGUCUGUGAGCCUGGAACGUACAGUCCCAACAACGAAGUGACCUGCCAGCUUUGUGCAGAUCCUCAAGUCAGGAUGUACGGAGCAAGAUUCUGGUGAUAAACUGACAGCAGAAACUGGGAAACCGAAGAGCAGCUGUGGAAAAACUCGUUUUGUGAUGUUCUGUUCAGUUGUAGCUGCCAAUUCUGGAACCCUGCAUUCCGUUAUGAACAGUUGCAAAACUUCAUUCAUCCACCUCCGGAUUUUCUGUAGUCAGGGACCACUUAAACUGCAGAAGUGAUGCAGGAACUGAAGCGUUCAUGCACGGUAAAGGGAUUCAAUGGAAACAAAAAGGACGUUUGUCACGUGGCUGUUAGUGCAAAGAGCCCGUUUCUUGGUGGUGACACCAGCCCUGCUGCAGCUUUGUGCUGGUUUGCUCAGGGAAUGUAAAGGAGGUGGAAACCACUCUGGGAAAGACAGCAGACAGUUGUAGUGGAAUUCCGUGCCAUGGUGACACAAGGCAGAACCUCUAUGAGCAGUUCCUAGCAGAUACUAGAAGAAGUAUUUCAUCUUUGUGAUUUAGAAGCAUUCAAUGCCCUUCCCUUUGUUUGUCAGUGUU